rnacentral:rRNA from 1 species
UACGAAGGGGGCUAGCGUUGCUCGGAAUCACUGGGCGUAAAGCGCACGUAGGCGGACUCUUAAGUCGGUGGUGAAAUCCUGGAGCUCAACUCCAGAACUGCCUUCGAUACUGGGAGUCUCGAGUUCGGGAGAGGUGAGUGGAACUGCGAGUGUAGAGAUGAAAUUCGUAGAUAUUCGCAAGAACACCAGUGGCGAAGGCGGCUCACUGGCCCGGUACUGACGCUGAGGUGCGAAAGCGUGGGGAGCAAACAGG